rnacentral:rRNA from 1 species
ACAGCAGCCGCCACGGUAAUACGUAGGUGGCAAGCGUUGUCCGGAAUUAUUGGGCGUAAAGGGCUCGCAGGCGGGCAUGUAAGUCUUUCUUAAAAGUGCGGGGCUCAACCCCGUGAUGGGAAAGAAACUAUGUGUCUUGAGUACAGGAGAGGAAAGCGGAAUUCCCAGUGUAGCGGUGAAAUGCGUAGAUAUUGGGAGGAACACCAGUGGCGAAGGCGGCUUUCUGGACUGCAGCUGACGCUGAGGCUCGAAAGCCAGGGGAGCGAACGGGAUUAGAUACCCCCGUAGUCCCUGUCUCUUAUACA